GGUUGAACCGAACCCAAACCGAGCCCGUAAGCCCAACCGAGCCCUUAUUAAUGAGACAAUCAGCGUCUCCUUCUUCUCCAACUUAACAUAUCCACGCUGCAACUUGAAGAGAGGAAAGGGAGAGCUUUCCAAACCCUAGCCCCUUUAAUCAAACUACCAUAACUUUUCGUUCCGAGUUUCGAUCGCUGCACCAUUUGCGGCUAUGCGUUCACCGCGUCGAACUCUACAAUUCUAUCGGAUCAAUUUUGCUAGUAAUCUUCUCCCUCAAUCCAGUUUCUCUACCCCUUAAUUAUCAAAAAUUGUGGGUGCUCAAGUUGAAGAAUUUGUUGAUUUUGGUUCUCUAGGUUUGAAUUAGCUUGCGGAAUUCGACUCUCUUGAUCUGUGGGUAUGGUGUAUAAAUAAACAUAUUGGAACUUGAAUUGUGGACAUUGGAGGUUUGGUGAAGAAUCGGUGCCAAGUCUUGGUGAUUUUGGAAUUGUGGGGCUGUGUUUGGCUUCGGAUAAUACAUGAAAAAGCAGUCAAGAUGCAGGUCGAGAGGCUCCUCGCUAAGCGUCUGGGUUCUGGAAGCGGAAUAGUCCUGGGUGUAUUUUGGGCUUUAUGUUUGUAUAUAUAUAACUUAUGUACUUAGCUUGCUCUCCAAGAUACUUGAUUAUUUUGUUCCUCAUAGAGGUUACAGGAGGGCUAGGGUCCUUUUUCUGUAUUUUGGGUAUUUGGGAUACUUAUGUAUGUAUAUGUAUAUAUUCUCUGGCCAGCCUUGGCUUUGCAAGCUGAGUCAGGGGCUAGUUUCACUGUAUUCUUGACUCUCUUUUUGCUCUUUCGUUUAUUCAUGUCUUUAACUUUUAGAUUU